rnacentral:rRNA from 1 species
UACGUAGGGUGCAAGCGUUGUUCGGAAUCAUUGGGCGUAAAGCGCUUGUAGGCGGCUUGUUAAGUCGCGUGUGAAAUCCCUUGGCUCAACCAAGGAAGUGCGCGCGAAACUGGCGAGCUCGAGUGCCGGAGAGGGUCGCGGAAUUCCCGGUGUAGAGGUGAAAUUCGUAGAUAUCGGGAGGAACACCAGUGGCGAAGGCGGCGACCUGGACGGACACUGACGCUGAGACGCGAAAGCGUGGGGAGCAAACGGG